GAUAUCAACUGAAAAAGUCAUCAACAACAAAGUUGAAUAACUCAUCAAGAUCUAAAACUUUUAUUUUGGUCAUUUCUUCAUACGAUAAAGUGAUAGUAACAUUGUUCACAAAAUUGACAUAUCUCUUAUCUGGUUUUAUAAACUAUAACACAUAUAUGUAAAAUUUCUGAAUAAUAUUACUAACAUUUCGUCAGAUGAAGAAAUAACAAAAAUAAAAGUUUUAGAUCUUGAUGAGUUAUUCAACUUUGUUGUUGAUGACUUUUUCAAUUGAAAUC
rfam:Oryza sativa Japonica Group DNA, chromosome 11, cultivar: Nipponbare, complete sequence.